AUAAUAAUAAUGUUGGGCCAUUGUACAUUGAGAUGGAGUAACCACUUUAUCUCUUCUGCAUGGUCAAGACAUUG
rnacentral:snoRNA from 1 species